rnacentral:rRNA from 1 species
UACAGAGGGUGCAAGCGUUGCUCGGAUUUACUGGGCGUAAAGCGCGUGUAGGCGGUCGAGUAAGUCGGAUGUGAAAUCCCUGGGCUCAACCUAGGAACUGCAUUCGAAACUGGUCACCUAGAGUGAUGGAGAGGAAAGCGGAAUUCCCGGUGUAGAGGUGAAAUUCGUAGAUAUCGGGAGGAACACCAGUGGCGAAGGCGGCUUUCUGGACAUUUACUGACGCUGAGACGCGAAAGCGUGGGGAGCAAACAGG